CACCAGACUCCUACGGGAGGCAGCAGUGGGGAAUAUUGCACAAUGGGGGAAACCCUGAUGCAGCAACGCCGCGUGAGUGAAGAAGUAUUUCGGUAUGUAAAGCUCUAUCAGCAGGGAAGAGAAUGACGGUACCUGACUAAGAAGCCCCGGCUAACUACGUGCCAGCAGCCGCGGUAAUACGUAGGGGGCAAGCGUUAUCCGGAUUUACUGGGUGUAAAGGGAGCGUAGACGGCUGGCCAAGUCUGAAGUGAAAGCCCGGGGCUUAACCCCGGAACGGCUUUGGAAACUGGCCGGCUGGAGUGCUGGAGAGGCAGGCGGAAUUCCUGGUGUAGCGGUGAAAUGCGUAGAUAUCAGGAGGAACACCGGUGGCGAAGGCGGCCUGCUGGACUGCAACUGACGUUGAGGCCCGAAAGCGUGGGGAGCAAACAGGAUUAGAUACCCUUGUA
rnacentral:rRNA from 1 species